UAACUGCGAGCGAACUGGGAAGAGCUCAUGGCGAAAUCCGCCGUCGUUGCGACGGUCCGGAUAUUUCGCGUAUAGGAGAGACGCUUCCGAACGUCCGCGCCGGUGUAAGUCCCCCUGACUGGGGCUCCUACCCCGAGAGGGUGCAAGGCCCGUAGCGGCCGGCGCGGGCUUCGGAUGUCCUCUCCGGGGAGUCGGGUUGCUUGAGAGUGCAGCCCCAAUCGGGUGGUAAACUCCAUCUAAGGCUAAAUACGACCCGGAGACCGAUAGCGAACAAGUACCGUGAGGGAAAGUUGAAAAGGACUUUGAAGAGAGAGUUCAAGAGUACGUGAAACCGUUCGAAGGUAAACGAGUGGGCCCUCGAAGCCGUAAGGCGGGGGGACUCAGCCGGGCGCCUCCGGCCCGCCGUCGCGCGCGCGCUUCCCCACCGGGACGCGCCGCGGCGGAACCGGCCGGGGUUCCCGGCGCAUUUCCUCCCGCCCUCGGACGCUGCGACCGGUCGCGCGUGCCACGAGCGGUCGGCCUUACUCGCGGGGACCGGCAGGUAGCGGGGGCGGUGCUUCGGCGCCGCCCCCGUGUUUAGCCACCCCGCGAUCGAGAGCCGUUCGCGCGACCGAAGGACUCGG
rnacentral:rRNA from 1 species